ACCUAUUGUGUCCUCUCUCAACCACUAUCUCCUCUGUAAGUUAAGUUUCUCUCCUAUCAGAUCCAAGAAAUUGAUCAAUUGUUUGGGAGUAGAGAUGCGUAUCAGACCCAUACGUGAUUGAAACCUUGGUCUCUCUAAACAUGUGAUUUGUUAAAGGUUUAUCCGCACAGUUCCUUGUGAGAUGCAGAAUUAGACUUUCACUGUACUCCAUCCCAUCAGGUUGGAACAAGAUUUUCUAUUCAGUAUAUCUAGACUAUUUUUUUUAACUGUGACCUGUGUUAGAUCUUUGGUGCAAGGUAAGUAGAGAUCAUGAUCAAGGAUGACUAAACAUUAUUAAGCAGAGAAUUUCUCAAGUCCCACACUCAAGCAAUUUUUUUUUUAAUUGAGACGCUGGCUAGGUAGUGGCUAGCGAUAGCAAUUUAACGAGCCUACCACGGACGGCGCCACGGCGGGAUCAGAGGAUGCACGUAGCACCGUGCUGAUCCUCCAGCCUCAAGGCGCAGCCUGUUGUCUCGGCACGCACACAGAGCUAAUCCGCAGGCAGAGUGCAGCAGCACAUGGCGGCACAAGCGACGCGAUGUUCCUAGUAGUUUGGCUAGCUAGAAGAUAUACAGGACAGGGAAGAGGGCAGAAAAGCUACAAUUUUUCUUUUCUGUUUUUCUGUGUUCGUGUUGUCGAUUUCCCAAAAAAAAUCUGAAUUUCAGUGGAGCAAAGGCAUGAACUGUAGACCAUAUACAUUAUUUUUAUGUACAAGAGUUAUGGACUACUUUGAUUUUUCAUCAUGUUUAAUGUUUGAGUUUGCCCCACCUAGAUUUUUAUUCUUCCUCCGCCACUGCCUACCAUGGUCGUAGACUAGACUAAGCAUGCGAAGUGGAGCCGUAGAUCACGCGGCCAAAUCAGAUUUUGUGCAUUGUAUGGUCUCUUGGCAGUUUUAGAUUCCUCUUAAAAAAUAAUACCAUUGUGUUUAUGUUGAAUACUAUUUGGGUGUUGAUAUUGAUAUCAUACGACAGUGAGGCAAUUUGUAGUUACCGCUAGAGGAAUUGACUUUGAUAUCAUACAACAGUGAGGUAAAAAAUUUUUUGACACCCCAAAAUUUACCAACGAUUUCAAUAGAUCAGUUUCGACAUAUACUACUGUUAGAAGAUGAUACAACUUUUAUUGGUGAAGUUGACAUCAAAAUUGGAGGUUACAAAUCAUUGUACAGUUCUAUAGUGUCGGUUAGUUUUGUUUGAUAGGUACAUCUUCAUCUCUUGUACAUUUUGUUUCUUUGCUCAGUAUAAAAUGUAUUGUAGGUGUUCAUUGUCUUUUUUUGCCAAAAUAUACUAUAGGCCCUCUAUAGGGUCAUUAUUUCUCCUUUGCGUAAACAUACUACAGAUCAUCAUGUAUGCAGUAGUGAUUGUAUGAUGUCGUUCUAGGUGAUAAGAUAGAUGAAGCAAGAGCUCGAGAGCUAAUAUUGUUGCUGCAGGAGACAAGGCUAUACUAUGCUUGAUGAAUGAUUCCAUGACCUGAGAGAUGCCUAAGUUAUGUAAGUCGUGCCUAAAAAAAUUCUUCUCUUCAUGGCGAGCGCUACUGCCACUUCCACAUAUUUCACAAUUUGUAAUUAUUGGUUGCGGUGCUUGCAUGCCUUGCCAUUGAGGAACCCAAUGUUGGAAGGAGACCGGCGCACCUCACAUAAAUUUCCAAUAGUAAUUUAGCUUGGUGGACAAGGCCAUUCUAUUUUUGUCUUCUGCUUUGCUUGUGUUUUGUAAGUUCUUUAUUCCUUCUAUCAAUGAAAUCGACAACUCUCCUGUUGUGUCAUCAAACUAAACUGGAACCUAUAUCCCUUUUGAAGAUGAUUUUGAGGCAUGAAUGUUUCUUUCUAUAUUGCAGUGUCAAUUAUUCAUGUACAUGCAACCAUUUUUGAACUAUAAUGCACUCGCAAACUGUUUAAGCAACAUUUAGUAUUGGUUUGUUACACUUGCAAUACGCAGAUUGAUAUGCCUCAAAAUACGUUUAUGUGAUAGGUGACGAAAGAGGAAAUUUUCUAACACGUUGAGCCCCAUCAGAUUGGAGCCAAAGAUGAAACCAGUAGUCGCUAACUCCAUUGCACAGAUUUCUUAUUGAGGCAUUGUCGUUCUUUCAUUAUUCAUAUUAAGGUUAGGUUAGAGUGAUGUGCUUAAUGAUCACCAUUUCUAGCAGAGAGUGGUGUGUGUGCUGGAGGUGGAGCAGAUGUUAAGUGACAAUGAUUCGAAGAGACAGAUUUGGAGUCCGAGCUAAACCUGGUUUCAUCACAAUUGCCAAAUAUGUGGAUGUAUUUGCAAUUGCCACAUGCUCUCUGUCCAAAGAUAUAGGACGUAGCAAACAAUGAGAAACCCGACAAGGAGACAACAAAUAUUAUUGCAAGGUGAAGAUGGAGAAAAAAAAGACUUUGGCUUAGAAGAAGGUUAUAUUGGCAGGAAACUGUAUGAUUCUUCUGAAGAGUACCUAUAAAAUAUAUGUCAUUGCUUUGAUCAAUG
rnacentral:lncRNA from 1 species